UACGUAGGGUGCGAGCGUUAAUCGGAAUUACUGGGCGUAAAGCGUGCGCAGGCGGUUUUGUAAGCCAGGUGUGAAAUCCCCGGGCUCAACCUGGGAACUGCAUUUGUGACUGGCGGGCUAGAGUAUGGCAGAGGGGGGUAGAAUUCCACGUGUAGCAGUGAAAUGCGUAGAGAUGUGGAGGAAUACCGAUGGCGAAGGCAGCCCCCUGGGCCAAUACUGACGCUCAUGCACGAAAGCGUGGGGAGCAAACAGG
rnacentral:rRNA from 1 species